AAAAGAGACAUUUGGGGGCAUAAGAACUCGGCCGCGAGAGGUGAAAUUCUAAGACCGGCCGAGGUCUAACAAAAGCGAAAGCAUUUGCCAAGAAUGUUUUCAUUGAUCAAGAACGAAAGUUGGAGGAGCGAAAACGAUCAGAUACCGUUGUAGUUCCAACUUUAAACUAUGCCGGCUGUUGGGGCCAGUUCGGUACAUCCGUACUAAUUGACCUCCCAGGGAAACCUUAGCAGGGUUCUGGGGGGAGUACGGUCGCAAGUCUGAAACUUAAAGGAAUUGACGGAAGGGCACCACCAGGAGUGGAGCCUGCGGCUUAAUUUGACUCAACGCGGGGAAACUUACCCGGUCCGGACAUCGGAAGGAUUGACAGACUGAUCGCUCUUUCAUGAUACGGUGAAAGGUGGUGCAUGGCCGUUCAUAGUUGGUGGAGCGAUUUGUCUGGUUAAUUCCGUUAACGAACGAGACUUCCUCCUUCAUUUAGUAGACUCAAUUGGGGUUUGAGUCAACUUAUUGAAGGGACUAACGCUAUUUAAAAGCGUAGGAAGUAAUCCGAUAACAGGUCUGUUAUGCCCUUAGAUGUCCGGGGCCGC
rnacentral:rRNA from 1 species